GUCCCUGUAGUAUAUACAAUACUUUGGUCUUGUAAACCAAAAAUGGAGAUCAUUCUCCCUAGGACA
rnacentral:tRNA from 1 species